rnacentral:lncRNA from 1 species
AGAAUUUGUUGACUCACCCUGAAUGUGUCUGUUGUACUGCUGUUGCACAGGACAGUGUUCAGGGUGUGAAACAAUGUGUUUGUUUUUGAAAGGGCAUGCUGAUUGAAGGACCACCAGGACCCCCUGGCCCAGCUGUGAGUAUAUUGUUAAAAACCUGAGCAUAUUUAGGCACCAUUGUUUUCAGAAUGUAAUGAGCUUGCCUAUUGGUGGUCUGCUAGCAUAUCCUUUGUCUUUUAGGGUCUUCCAGGUCCCUCAGGCCUGCAAGGACCCCCAGGCACUUCUGGAGAUCCUGGUGACAGGGGUCCACCUGGUCGUGCUGGUCUUCCUGGUGCUGAUGGUUUGGCAGGGCCCCCUGGUACUAUGCUGAUGCUGCCAUUCCGUUUUGGUGGAGAUGGUGAGAAGGGUCCAGUGGUGUCGGCCCAAGAAGCUCAAGCCCAGGCCAUCCUCUCCCAGGCCAGAGUAGGUAGAAGGGACAUUAAAAAGGCCACUGAGAAGCUCAAAGGCUGUGGACAAACCCCCCAACCCCCGCCCUGCUCCUCCACACAGCUGUAG